rnacentral:rRNA from 1 species
CCUGGUGAUAGCUGGUUCUCCCCGAAAGCUAUUUAGGUAGCGCCUCGGACGAAUACCAUUGGGGGUAGAGCACUGUUUCGGCUAGGGGGUCAUCCCGACUUACCAAACCGAUGCAAACUCCGAAUACCAAUGAGUACUAUCCGGGAGACAGACUGCGGGUGCUAACGUCCGUAGUCAAGAGAAAAACAAUCCAGACCGCCAGCUAAGGCCCCAAAAUUAUAGUUAAGUGGGAAACGAUGUGGGAAGGCAUAGACAGCUAGGAGGUUGGCUUAGAAGCAGCCACCCUUUAAAGAAAGCGUAAUAGCUCACUAGUCGAGUCGGCCUGCGCGGAAGAUGUAACGGGGCUAAAACUAUAUGCCGAAGCUGCGGAUGCAUAAUUUAUUAUGCGUGGUAGGGGAGCGUUCUGUAAGCCGAUGAAGGUGGAUUGAGAAGUCUGCUGGAGGUAUCAGUAGUGCGUAUGCUGACGUGAGUAACCACAAUGCGAGUGAAAAACUCGCACGCUGAAAGACCAAGGGUUCCAGUCCAACGUUAAUCGGGGCUGGGUGAGUCGACCCCUAAGGCGAGGCCGAGAGGCGUAGUCGAUGGGAAAUUGGUUAAUAUU